AUAGGGGAGCCGGAGGGAAACCGAGUCUUAACCGGGCGUUAAGUUGCAGGGUAUAGACCCGAAACCCGGUGAUCUAGCCAUGGGCAGGUUGAAGGUUGGGUAACACUAACUGGAGGACCGAACCGACUAAUGUUGAAAAAUUAGCGGAUGACCUGUGGCUGGGGGUGAAAGGCCAAUCAAACCGGGAGAUAGCUGGUUCUCCCCGAAAGCUAUUUAGGUAGCGCCUCGUGAACUCAUCUCCGGGGGUAGAGCACUGUUUCGGCUAGGGGGCCAUCCCGGCUUACCAACCCGAUGCAAACUGCGAAUACCGGAGAAUGUUAUCACGGGAGACACACGGCGGGUGCUAACGUCCGUCGUGAAGAGGGAAACAACCCAGACCGCCAGCUAAGGUCCCAAAGUCAUGGUUAAGUGGGAAACGAUGUGGGAAGGCCCAGACAGCCAGGAUGUUGGCUUAGAAGCAGCCAUCAUUUAAAGAAAGCGUAAUAGCUCACUGGUCGAGUCGGCCUGCGCGGAAGAUGUAACGGGGCUAAACCAU
rnacentral:rRNA from 1 species